GUGGUGGAGCUUAGACAAAAUGCUAACAUUCAUUCCCCUCAGGGAGCCUAAAACCCCUGGACUUGGGGGUGGGGGUGGGGCAGUUUCUUUCUAAUUGUCAAGUGAUUCAUCCCUCCCAACCUGGUGGCAAAGCCCAUCCCCUGUCAGCACAAUUCACCCCGUGGAUGACGCUCCUCCCUGCUUCCCAGGCUUCCUGGCACAUCCUGGUUAGAAGGAGUUUAGGCGCAUGCAGACAGACAUUGUGUUUUGAGGACGUCUUAGUAGCUCCGAGAAAAGUCAGCGUUAGUCAAGGAUGCUCGGAAACUCCAGGAGCAGAGAGCAGCAGGCUAUGCAGAAUAACCGCUGGCUGAUGGGACACACCGGGGAGGACUGCCUGGUACUGAGUGCAGCAAAGGUAGGCAAGGGCCUUGUGUUCCAAAGAGCAGCUUCCUCCAGGCUGAGGAGCCUUGCACACAGCCUCGGCAGGCCAGGCAGUUUCUUGCUUGUUGUCGCCUUAGCUCCUGCUGGCUGCUGCUGCGGACUUCCCCAGGCAAGCGUCCACAAUAAACGCUGCCUGCCUGGAGCUGGAGAUCUCACAUGUUAGCUCAGGAGUGCUGAGUUUCAUUCUAGGACAGUCUUAGGGGAAUCUAAGAGGUCCCUCUUCGAGAAUGUUUGGACAACACAGCAGGGGGGGCAGAGGAAACCCAACUCUUAUGUCCUCUAAACAGGGGUCUGGAAGUCAAUUCUGGGGGAGCCACCGGGGUGUUAGGUUCAAGGUUCCCAGACAGAAUCCAGCUGGUAGGAUUCAAAUAGGCACACAUGGGAUAGGUGCCCUGCCCUAUGGGGUUUCCCCGUGCAGCAGACCAUGGCCGCUGAGUCUUAAGUCCGACUCCAGCUUGGGUUAUAGGGGAACGAACAUUCAAGGAACCUGUCCCUGCCUCGCCCACUUCCAGGAACUGUUUAUGUUUCAGACAAUUCCUGACCCUGCCCAGGACUCCUGUCAUAGAGUGGCAGAAGGACACAAAGAUUUGGUUAAAGGGACAGCCAGGAAAGUCUGUCAUUCUGUUGCAAUUGUACAGGGAAUGCUAUCUGGGUCAGGCAGGCUGGUGUUCUUUGCAUACUGAGCUGAAUAGGGCAAUAGCUCUGUGGGUUUUUCUGUGCCCUGACCCCAAAGCUGAUUUGGACACCUUCCCUCUUCCCUGUCUCAGUCUCCUGCAUGGGUGCCAACUUCAUCUUAGCUCUCUGACCCUAUAGAAAAAGCUUUAUGAGUUUCAGGGGCGGUGCGCAUGCUGACACACAUGGAUAAUCCUCCAACUGGGGCAGCCGAGGCAGGGAGCCGGUGAAUGGGGAGGCCAGCCUGGGUUACACAGUGAGAUCCUUCCUGAAAUGGAAAAUAAGGGACACACACUGCCAAGCCUCACCCAGCAGUCAGUCAGUGAUGGCUCACAACUCCACGGGGCUUGCUACUACUCUAUUCAUAUGGCGCGGUGAGCCACAGGCUCAACUGCAAGCAGCAGAUGCGGGGUCCCGAGCAUUCUCCCAGCUGCAUGCACUCAAUAGAAACUUCCUAAAGCUCCGAAAAACCGAAACCAAAAUGGAGUGAGACCCAAACAACAACAACAACGACGAUAGUUCUACCUUUCUUUGGGUCCCAUCAUCAGUCAUCAUCAUCGUCAUCAUCACCAUCAGCCACCACAUUAGGGAAAAUAAGCCCCGUUCCUUAGACUCAACGAGACAAGCCUCCCAGGAGCCCUGAAGUCAACAGAAGGUGCAGAUAUUUUCCCUCUCAGCGCCACCCUCCCCCUAUCAGAGAGUGGACUGACUCUCCGCCCUUGCCCUGGGAACCAAGAGGGACCAGACUCACCUCCUGUCCCACUUCUUGUCUCUCCCAGGCCCUGCAGCUGCCCUCCAAACCAGUCUACCUUCUAAACAGCCUGUGGGGAUGUGCUAAGACUGGAAGGGGUCACUGGCGGGCUCAUUGUUUAUGGGCUCCAUAAAACUGACAUUCAGAGGGAGGGGGGAGGGGGGACACACUUCCUUUAUGACCCAGGAGGACAAUAAAGUUAUAUGAUUAACAGUGACUUUGCCUGGCCUUCUUAAAGCAACAGGUCCUCGGAGUUCGCCCUGCUGGGAAGUCAGUGUCUCAGCAGCCGGAGGACUGGCAGAGGGCAUUUCAGUGACCAGCCCAGCCAAGGUGCCAAGGACUCUGAUGUCCUCAAGCCAAUGUUGUGGUGAUUCGGAGCCAUCAGGCAUGGGGGUGUGUAUACAGCACAGCACUGUUCUUGGGGUGGGGGUGGGAGUCUGUCCCCAUCUGUGUGGUCUGCACAACUGUGAUCUCAGGCACACAGCAUACUUUCUUUCCCUGUGCCCACCCCACCUUCUCAGGAUCCUGGGCAGAGGUAUACAGAGUGGCAGAGUUCAUAACUGCCGGUGCCGGAAGCCACCAAGCUGCCUGCAGCAGGGAAUGGAGGAACAGAGAUUGGUAUCUAUGGACAAGAGAUGGGAAAGGCAGAGAAAGGGCCCCACUGCACAGGAGCAAGCGAAAGAAGCUGGUCAGAAAGGUUCGAACUACAGGAAAAGGAAAACCAUGGAGACAGGGAAGAUGGGUGGUGGGAGGCAGCAAGGAACAGUUGAAACACACACACAUACAAACACACCACACACACAUACACACUACACACGUACACACUACACACAUACCACACA